CCUGUUGCUGCUGUGGUUAUUCCUCUGAUUUCUGUAGUUGUUCUAACCAUUGGAGUAAUAUUUCUAGGAAUAGAAGGAGCAUUAGUUGUUUCAAAUGAUGUAGUGGUUGUUGAAACUCCUACAAAAGAUGCAGCGUUUGGUGUCUGUUGUUUGGUGGGCGUAUGUUUUUUGGUUGGUGUAUGUUCUUUAGUUGGUGUAUGUUUUUUGGUUGGUGUCUGUUGUUUGGUUGGUGUAUGUUCUUUAGUUGGUGUAUGUUUUUUGGUUGGUGUCUGUUGUUUGGUUGGUGUAUGUUUUUUGGUGGGUGUAUGUUUUUUGGUGGGUGUAUGUUUUUUGGUUGGUGUAUGUUCUUUAGUUGGUGUAUGUUCUUUAGUUGGUGUACGUUCUUUGAUGGGUGUAUGUUCUAGAGUUGGUGUAUGUUCUUUGGUGGGUGUAAUAUUUUCAGGAAUAGAAGGAGCAUUAGUUGUUUCAAAUGAUGUAGUGGUUGUUGAAACUCCUACAAAUGAUGCAGUGGUUGGUAUCUGCUGUUUGGUGGGUGUAUGUUUUUUGGUUGGUGUAUGUUCUUUAGUUGGUGUAUGUUUUUUGGUUGGUGUCUGUUGUUUGGUUGGUGUAUGUUCUUUGGUUGGUGUAUGUUCUUUGGUGGGUGUAUGUUUUUUGGUUGGCGUAUGUUCUUUGGUUGGUGUCUGUUGUUUGGUUGGUGUAUGUUCUUUAGUUGGUGUUUGUACUUUGGUUGGUGUAUGUUUUUUGGUUGGUGUAUGUUCUUUGGUUGGUGUCUGUUGUUUGGUUGGUGUAUGUUCUUUGGUGGGUGUAUGUUCUUUGGUUGGUGUAUGUUCUUUGGUGGGUGUCUGUUGUUUGGUUGGUGUAUGUUCUUUGGUGGGUGUAUGUUUUUUGGUUGGCGUAUGUUCUUUGGCUGGUGUCUGUUGUUUGGUUGGUGUAUGUGUUUCAAAUGAUGUAGUGGUUGUUGAAACUCCUGCAAAAGAUGCAGUGGUUGGUGUCUGUUGUUUGGUGGGUGUAUGUUCUUUAGUUGGUGUAUGUUUUUUGGUUGGUGUUUUAAAUGAUCUAGUGGUUGUUGAAAGUUCGUCAGAUGAUGAAUCUGAUGUACACUCUGGAGUAAUAGUUUCAGGUGUUAAAACAGUGUUCUCUGAUAAAGUGAAAGCUGUUUCAUCUGUGACUGUUUCUAGUGUAGAGGUGAGUGUAGUGGUUUUAACAUUAGUUGUAGCAGUAUUAUCUCCUGACCCCCCUGCUGCUGCUGUGGUUAUUCCUCCGAUUUUUGUAGUUUUUGAAGUUGGAAUACUUGAUGUUGUGGUUCUUAAAGCUCCUGCCAGUGAAGUAGUUAUAACCAUAUUUUCAGGAAUAGAAGGAGCAUUAGUUGUUUCAAAUGAUGUAGUGGUUGUUGAAACUCCUGCAAAAGAUGCAGUGUUUGGUGUCUGUUGUUUGGUUGGUGUAUGUUUUUUGGUGGGUGUAUGUUUUUUGGUGGGCGUAUGUUUUUUGGUUGGUGUUUGUACUUUAGUUGGUGUAUGUUCUUUGGUGGGUGUAAUAUUUUCAGGAAUAGAAGGAGCAUUAGUUGUUUCAAAUGAUGUAGUGGUUGUUGAAACUUCUGCAAAAGAUGCAGCGUUUGGUGAAUGUUGUUUGGUGGGUGUAUGUUUUUUGGUGGGUGUAUGUUUUUUGGUUGUUGUAUGUUCUUUGGUUGGUGUAUGUUUUUUGGUGGGUGUAUGUUCUUUAGUUGGUGUAUGUUUUGAGGUUGCUGUAGAUGUAGUACUUUUUGGUUUAGUAGUAGUUCUAGGAGUAGAAGUUGUUUCUGAAGUUGGAAUACUUGAUGUUUCAUGUGUUUCACCGACACAGAUGGAGUUUUGAUUUGACAUCAUUCUUGGAGAUGGCCUGUAAGUUUCAAGGUUAUUGCCAGGUUUUCCCAAUUCCGUCGAAGAAUCAUUCGUGUGACUCUCUCUUUUGGUCAGAUGUUUAGCUUGAUUUUUGGCACAGAACACCUUUCCCAUGUACAGUUUAUCCAAUGUAUCAAUAUACUGAAGCAAAAGCACAGACUGAUGCUGCAGAGAAGACAAAAUGAAAAUGUACAUUAAUCACAGCAUGAUGACACAUUAAUCUAGGAUUUUAAAUAUAAUCACCUGACCCAAAUCUGUCCAAACACUGAAACAGAACUGGC
ensembl:lncRNA